rnacentral:lncRNA from 10 species
UGAUAGUUCCACGCGGUCAGAAGGGUCAUCCUGGCUUAGGAGAGGGGCAGAAGAGGAAAUGCACGCGUGGAAACAGGAGUGGGCAGGGAGGAUGUGACACUGUCCUCCUCACCAGGCCACGUUCCUGGCACCAACCAUAGUGUUUGGGCAGAUAAGAAAAGAAACAAUUUGCUGAAACUCCCUCUGCUUAUAACAAAACUGACUGAAAUCAGCCGGAAUCAAUAUGGCCAAAUGCAGUUUGCGCACAGCAAGCUUGCUGAUGUCACAGCCUGAAUUUCUACUGCAUGUUUCAUACCAACUCCCUCCAAAUUUGCACAUGGGACCCACCAGGAAGCAUGAAGAGAGAGCCAUGCAUGCCUGAAGACUUCCCAGAUGUUCCCUUUGCUUCCACCAAUCACCUGCUAACCCCAGGAUCCAACCCUAAACCUUUUGUAAUAAAAUUACUGCCCUAAAGCCAGUACAAGACAGAUUUGAACUGGACUUUUGUUUCCUCAGAAGUUAACUUGCAAUGUGAAGCUUUCCUUUUCUCAAAAACUUGGUGUCAUAGUGUUGGCUUCUAGUGCAGUGAGCCCCUUUUGCUGGAUAACCUUACCUGGUAAUUUGACAUACUAGGUGGUUAGUAACUACUGACUGUCUCCAGGUUACAACACAGUUAUUACCCACUUGGGUGAAAAGAGAAGACAGGAAAUACAUUUUGGAGUUGGCUGGCAACCUGUUUACAAAGCAAUUUACAACAGUUCCUUAUUCUUAAGGGGCUAUUCUAAUACAAGACCUCAGAGAAACAGUGCAGUGUGACAAAGGAGGAAUUUAUCAAAGGAGACAGAAAAAGCAUCAAGGCAAGCUGUGAAAUGGUGCGGUAGGAACC